ACACAUUCAAUUUUGUUUUAACUAACAACAAUACAAUUGAAAUUUAGAAUUAUUAAUGAAAAACAUUGACAUAAUUGACUUUUUUAUCAAUUAACUUUUAGACUUGAAAUUCCAUCCAUGGGCUAACCAUCCUAGUUCCGCCAUUAUGCGGUUUCAUUAAAUGAGCAGCGAACAAUUCGAAAUUAAAUAUCAAAAGAGGAGGACAACAUAUGGAAGAUGUAUUAGACUAUAGGUUCACCAGAUGGCAAGGAGAUGGUACUAUUCUGGAUGUGCGAAGUGACCAACUCAACUUUUUCAUUGAAAUUUUAGUCACAACAACCCCCUAUAAUAUCAUAAAAAGAUAGGACGCAAGAUCUAUAAACACAUAUAUGAUAACUGAAUAUUAUGGUUGGGUGUUAAACUCAACCUUUGCUAUCCUUUGACCGUGAGACGGCUAAGAUCGAUAUGUUUGUUGCCAUCAAAAAAAUUUAUUCCUUUCUGAAAGUUCUCUCUCUCAAUCUCUCUAUUCACCAUUUUUUGUAAACUUUGGUAUCCGACCCAUUAGCUGACUAAACAAGUCAAGGAUGAAUCCGGGUUGAGGUUUUACACUUUUACUCAUCUUCCAACAUUAUUUCGAAAGAUUGAACUUUAGUUCGCAUUUUUAAAUGCAGCUCAUGCACCGACCGCUCGUUGAUAAUCUCUCUAUUCACUUAAAUCCAUUGAUGUUCCCCUUCUUGCGAACUCGCUUGUGGGUCUAGCUUUGAGGCAUUACAUGGCACUUGAAAUUCAAAGGUCCUUAUCUAAAAUGAAAAUGGGCCAAUUUGUAUUAAACAAUGUAUACUUUUUUUUAAUAUGGUCGUUAUCAAAGAUUUGAGGCAGAUUAUUCUCGUCUAUAAUUGGGCAUGUUAAUAAAUUCUUUUAAUAGGAUGUUUAUUAUCGAUAAGAAAAGUUUAUCGUCGGUACACAUGCAGGUAUCCUACGGAAGACCUCACCUUAGCUCGUUGCUCAUCAUAACUAGCUAGCAUCAACUUCUCUUUGAGCUGCUUGAUAUUAGGGAUAAACACUUCAGCUCAUUCAGCUCACCUUGAACUCGGUGCAAUAUGCUGGUAAGGAGUUAGGUGGUAGGGGUGGUUAACUUAAAAUGAAAUGGUGCCUAUCUAAUGACACCUUUUCGGUCAUUUGGAACAAUAAGCAACAGAAAAUAUAUUACAAUUUACAACUAACAAAUUAAAAAGCAAAGUCAAUGAAGCUUUUCAAACCGACCAUAUACUCAUCAGAAAGACGAUACAUUUUAAUCUAAUACUUAUCCAUUUCAAAAAUACCUAAUUGAUUUUAAUCCAAAGACAAUAUUUCAAUGAUCAAAUAAACAAUAAUUGUAUCAAAUGAAUAAAUUAAACACCUAUUUCAAUAACUAAUUUAAUAACUAGAUACACAUAGUUGGUUAAUCAAGUUCAUUACAAACUAUUACAGUUAUUAACACAAUGAAACUGAAUAAAUUAAAUUACAUACCUUCUUACACCAAAAAAUAUUGAAAUAUUACUCGAGCUUCAUACAAGAGAAAGAACAACCAACUUUAAACCUUGCAUUCAAGAAUAACUAAGAGUGAUUAAAAAGCCUUUUAACUAAUAAUAUUACAAGUACCAAAAAAAUUAGGUGAAAGUACAAACCUAACGUGGGUGUUGAUUUAUACUGAAACUGACUGAUACGGGUAGUGGGGCGGUGGCGGCAAACAGAGGGACGACAAUGGCGACGGCGGGGUGGUGGCAGCGAUCGUUGUUCACAAUGACCUAAUUGAGGGUUUGGGAGUUUAGAGGAUUUUCGAAUAUGAGAAGGGUGUUCAACUGAAUUGGCGUCUGAGAUGGGGGCUUUUAUACUCAUGUUACCUAACGCCAAACUAAAUCCAAGUGACGCAAAGAAACGGGAAAAAUACGCACAACUUAACGUUGGUUUUAAUUGACGGGAAGUCGAACCGAGUGAACCAACCCGCGGUCUACCUGGUUCAACUUUGUCGUCACUUUACCGAGGGAGCGACUUUAAUUUGAAAAUAACACCACGGGAAAUUGGCGCCAACAUUUUGGGCAAUGGCUGGUCAAACAUUUGUCGUCGUUCUUCUAACAAGCAAUGCAAAGUCGAAGACCAACCCGACGAAAAAAUUUGUACAUCGUUGACCUCAGAUCUGUCGUCGGUUUUUUUCCGUCGAUAGGUUAUUAACCGACAAGAAGUUUUUGGGCCGUUACUUCCCGUCGGCUAUUUACUGACCGAUGUCAAGUCCUUUCGCUGCAAGAGAUGCCGAAUACAAGAUUUCUUGUAGUGUAUUUAUUUUCCGGUGAGAAAACCUACGUUAACUUGAAUUUAAUGCGCUUUUAACCUCUAUAAACAAGGAUUAAAUGUACGGCUCAAACCUCUUUGAACAAUGUUCAAACGAGGGUAUUUGAUUUCUGACAGUACAAACUAAAUUAGAUUAUCUCUACUCUUAUGGAGGUUCAGUGAGAGCUCCAAGAUCUAAGGCUAUGCUACGAUAAUUUACAAAGGAAAUAGAUAACUUGACAAGUGGUGUCAGAGUUGUGAUUUUUGCGAACUUUUUCUUAUAUGACCUUCGCUAUCUACUUAUAGCUUUCAAAAGUAACUUCUUGAGUAAACUGCUCUCCCCUUUGAUAACGUGGGCAACAUGGCUGCUCUCCAACGACAUGGGAAAUAUGAAGUUCCUUGUUAACCGCCUCGGUGACGUAUUCAAGAGUGUUGACAGACUUGGUGAGAGGGUGACUUGAUGGGCUUGGUGAUCGUGGGUAGGUAAACAAGUGUGACUUGGGUUGAUGUUCGCAAACUUGAGAUGAUGUCUACAGGCACCUCAGAUGUCUGCUAGUACCUUGGAUAUCGGCCAGAGACCGUGGCAUAUAUUUCCAUGGAUGAUGAUUUGUGGUGAUUGGGUAACUUAGACGCGUGCUAGUGAUUUGGGAUGACAUUUGGCAGUAAUUUAGAUGUUUAUCAGUAAGGUUGGACAUUAGGUAACGAGUAUUUAUUUAUACCUAUAAUAUUCAAAUGAGAUGGGAUAUGAAAUUGCAAAUUGACAUAUGGGAUACUCAUGAGUCACCCUCAAAUUCCAUUCGGAUAUUAUUAAUACCUGUAAUACCCUUUAAAUUAGACUAAUGUAUAAUAUUAAAGUAAUGUCAUUAAUUGUGCUAUAUAAUAUUUUUUCGAUGAAUAUAAUCUUUUAUUCACCGAUUUACAGACUUGCCCAUAAAAGGAAGCAAGACCCACCUUUAAGCCCCAAUACAACAUCUGUUAAAUAAGUAAUUCAAAACUGACUUGACAAGCUGCAAGCGCCUUGCAUAACUGAGAGUUUUUGCUUUCCAGCUUUUCACUCUUGCCGUAAUCCUAUGAAUGAGAAUAUCGCAAUCCUUUGUAGACAAUUUUUCAGAAACCAGAGGCACACCUACGCUAUUUAACAGGCAGGUUAUCUUCCCUAAAUCCAGAUGAAGAAAGAAUAGAGUGACGGACCUCAGCGGGGACUGAAACUGAGAAGAAGACUUUGAUCUUUUCAGAAUUAAGUUGCAACUCAGAGUAAAGAUAGGAGGCCUUGAGAACAUUACAGAUUCCACAACUCCUUCAAUAGUACCGUUAGUGAAAAUAUUACAAUUCAUGCGCAUACGAGAAAAGAACCUCAGACCCUCUAGAUACAAAUUAAGAAGAAGGAUUAUCGACCCCAUUACUAUUACCACCGCUCUUCCCCUCGAUCUUCGCAGGCACAUGAUCAAGCUCCACGUCAUCAUCCUCCAUAUAC
rnacentral:lncRNA from 1 species